GUGGGGAAUCUUCCGCAAUGGACGAAAGUCUGACGGAGCAACGCCGCGUGAGUGAUGAAGGUUUUCGGACUGUAAAGCUCUGUUGUUUGGGACGAAAGUGCCUGUUGCGAACAGUUACGGGUAUUGACGGUACUAAACGAGGAAGCCACGGCUAACUACGUGCCAGCAGCCGCGGUAAUACGUAGGUGGCAAGCGUUGUCCGGAAUUAUUGGGCGUAAAGAGCAUGUAGGCGGGAAUCUAAGUCUGUUGUUAAAAUGCGGGGCUCAACCCCGUAUUGCGAUGGAAACUGGGUUUCUUGAGUGCAGGAGAGGAAAGGGGAAUUCCCAGUGUAGCGGUGAAAUGCGUAGAUAUUGGGAGGAACACCAGUGGCGAAGGCGCCUUUCUGGACUGUGUCUGACGCUGAGAUGCGAAAGCCAGGGUAGCGAACGGGAUUAGAAACCCUUGUAGUCC
rnacentral:rRNA from 1 species